rnacentral:lncRNA from 1 species
AUGGUGCUGGAGCCUGUGCCGAUGAGCCCGUUAGGGGAAAUGGAGGCUCCCAGGCACGAUGAGCUGUCCCAGGCCAUCUCACCAAGACGGGGCCCGAAUGCUCCCGUGAAGCGUGAAGCGCAGUGGGGAAGGCAGCGGGACGCUACACUGACUUCUUCCCUUGCAAAGGCGCAGGAUGAAUCUGCUUGGAGCAAGGCGGGCAGAAGAGGUCUUCCUAAGAAGUCUUCCGCGGGGAGCGGUGGGCCUCUGGGAUGCCCAAGGUCUCUGCCAUCACCCUCUGGUCUCUACGCUUUCAGAGGAACUGGCAGGUCAGGGAUUGCAAAAGAAACAUCCCCCAGCCGAUCAAUAAAUAAUAAUGUUGGAGAAUUUAAAAUAAAAAUCUGGAUUAUUAAAGUUACAAAUCUUUGGUCUUUAUACCUUUAAUAAAACAUGCGUCUAUUAAUAAUGAAUACUGGUUCUGGCCUGCUUAGGCUGAAAGGGAGAAAAAAAUGACCAGUCAAAAGAUGCUCAUAUUUUUUCUCCUUACCCAGUUUGGCUGCCAAGAUGCUGCAUCCCUGACAAAUGGC